rnacentral:lncRNA from 1 species
UGGCUAGGUGCUUAAGUAACCCUGGGUUCAGUCCCUGGUACCAAAAAAAAAAAAAAAAAAAAAAAAACCCAAGGGGAGUCACCUAAAUAAAUUAAAAGACUAUAGGGAGAAGUGAGGCUUGUUAUUACCAGAUAUUAGAGGAAACUAGAAAAAUUUAGGGUUCUGUCCAGUCAGGUGUAAAUAAAAAAAAUUUAAAACAAUGAAUGGGGUUACAAUCUAAUAACAGGUGUGCUAUAGUUUUUCUUUAGAAACAUAAUGAAUUUGUGAAAUAAGUUUAGUUUCAUCAAGUUUGGCCUGAUCGAUUACAUAAGUGCAAUAAUAAUAGUGACUGAUGACAUAGUACUCUCAGGGUAGACUGUUAAAAACCUCUCAAGGACCAGGUAUGUGGCUCAUGGUUGAGUGUGUGCUUAGCAGGCACCGGCCCUGGAGUCAGUCCCCAGAUUCAUCUUUCAUAAACCUUUUGCAGCUUCCUCUGACCUUUAGGACUUGCUCCAAGCUUUAUCACUUGGUUAAGCCUUCAGUGUUGUCCCAUUUCUUUGAUUUUUAAACUAGAAUCAUUGUACCUUAAGACAAAAUUGUAUUCUUAUUCCCUAAUCACCAAGACCACGCAAAAUUCUAAUACAAAAAUAAUUUUCAUUUUAAUGUUCUUUACCAAAAAGUACAUCUGCAUAUCUGUGACUUCCUUUUCAUCUCUCUCCUACUUACUAGUUCCUUUCUGUUUUAUUCUUACUUUCUUUCUAAAUCCACAUUUUGAAAAAAAAAAAAAUUAACCCCCGAAUAAGGCAAUAUUCUCUUUAAUGCCGUUUUAUAAUUUUUCUCAUUAAAAAAUCUUAAUUUUCUAUUACACUUUGAAUAUAGAAUUGCAUACAUUAAUUCUAGAAUUUUUUAACACUUAGUAACCUUAUUUCUGGUGAAAACCUAGGUUGGAAGCAAAUUUUGAACUGUAC